CCUACGGGAGGCAGCAGUGGGGAAUCUUAGACAAUGGGGGCAACCCUGAUCUAGCCAUGCCGCGUGAGUGAUGAAGGCCUUAGGGUCGUAAAGCUCUUUCGCCUGUGAUGAUAAUGACAGUAGCAGGUAAAGAAACCCCGGCUAACUCCGUGCCAGCAGCCGCGGUAAUACGGAGGGGGUUAGCGUUGUUCGGAAUUACUGGGCGUAAAGCGCGCGUAGGCGGAUUAGAAAGUUGGGGGUGAAAUCCCGGGGCUCAACCCCGGAACUGCCUCCAAAACUGCUAGUCUAGAGUUCGAGAGAGGUGAGUGGAAUUCCGAGUGUAGAGGUGAAAUUCGUAGAUAUUCGGAGGAACACCAGUGGCGAAGGCGGCUCACUGGCUCGAUACUGACGCUGAGGUGCGAAAGUGUGGGGAGCAAACAGGAUUAGAUACCCUGGUAGUCCACACCGUAAACGAUGAAUGCCAGUCGUCGGGUAGUAUACUAUUCGGUGACACACCUAACGGAUUAAGCAUUCCGCCUGGGGAGUACGGUCGCAAGAUUAAAACUUAAAGGAAUUGACGGA
rnacentral:rRNA from 1 species